AAUAACAAGCUAAAGAGAGAAUGAGUAAAAGAAAAGAGUUUGAAUGUCUGUACACAUGUAAUUACUUCACAUAUGAUGCUCCAUUUUAUAAACAUAAACAUCAAAGUUGCUGACAAGGAAUAAGUACUACAUGCUACUAUACUCUGUUCCAAAUUAAAUUAGUGUGCGAUACGUGUUUUUCUAUAAGGCAGUGUAAUAAUUCUAACAGUGAGAUUAUAUUUUGUAAUAAAUCUUUAAGUUAAUUCAACGAAUCUUACGAAUCUUAUAAUGUAGACAGAACCAAUCUUACUUCAAUUUCCUAAUACAGGUUUUCUGAAAAGAUAUAAGUGUCGAAAAAUUAAAGAGAAAAACGUUUUUAUCAUUUCACAAUAUACCAUAUCAUAGCAUUUAAAUAAUAAUGCCAGAUACUUUAAACAUUUUACCGUUGAAAAUAUUGCUACUCAUUUUUUAUUAUCUCUGUCUACGCGAUUUAAUGCGGCUCAGUUGUGUAUGCAAAAGGUUUAAUCAAAUUUUAUCUGACAAAAUUGCCUGGACUAAUAGAUGUGAAAAACAACUUGUCACAAAUCAAUCAUCAAAAAAAUUUUGCGAAAGAUGUAAUCCCCUAUUAUCUUCACAAUUGUCUAAGUGGAUUAUUUCGUAUAAUUGGAAAUAUGGAAAUUACAAAAAAGUAAUGUUAGAUAAAUGGACACCAAGAUCAUCAUUAUUCCCAUCAUGUGUUCAAAUGAAUGAUAGUAUCCUUUGGUGGAGUGAUAAUAAUGUGCUUCAUAAUUUUAGGCGCACAAAGCAUGAUAUGGCAAGAUACAAUAUAGCAAAUAAUAACAUUUGUGACAACAUUCUUUCAACAUACUAUACAUCUGAUAUUUGCAAAUUUGUUCUUUGUGAUAAUGCUGUUAUAAGUGGCCAUAGUGAUGGCGAUAUAAAGAUGUGGAUAAAAGAACGAUUUAAAGAAGAAAGAAUAAUGAGACCAAGCAAUGUUUAUGUAGCGGAGACACUUUCACACGGAUAUUCUUGUGCCGUUAACGCUAUAGAUGCAAUAUCACAAUAUAUAAUUUCAGAUUCAAAUAAUAAUGUACUAACGAUGAGAUAUAUAUAUUUUACAAAAUUUGCAAUGAUAAUGCAAUGACAGUACAAAAUGCCUAUUUCUACUUAGAUGCAUGCAAAUAUGUUCGCUAAAAAUAAAACAAGAAAAAGAGGUACAUUAAUAAAUUUUACGCAUAGUCAUAAUAAUAAAAUUCUGUCACUUGCAAUUGACCCCACAGGAACAAGAUUUGCUGUUAGCUAUCAGAAAUAUCCAUAUUUUGGUAUAUUCAAUAAU